rnacentral:rRNA from 1 species
CGGGCGUUAAGUUGCAGGGUAUAGACCCGAAACCCGGUGAUCUAGCCAUGGGCAGGUUGAAGGUUGGGUAACACUAACUGGAGGACCGAACCGACUAAUGUUGAAAAAUUAGCGGAUGACCUGUGGCUGGGGGUGAAAGGCCAAUCAAACCGGGAGAUAGCUGGUUCUCCCCGAAAGCUAUUUAGGUAGCGCCUCGUGAAUUCAUCUCCGGGGGUAGAGCACUGUUUCGGCUAGGGGGCCAUCCCGGCUUACCAACCCGAUGCAAACUGCGAAUACCGGAGAAUGUUAUCACGGGAGACACACGGCGGGUGCUAACGUCCGUCGUGAAGAGGGAAACAACCCAGACCGCCAGCUAAGGUCCCAAAGUCAUGGUUAAGUGGGAAACGAUGUGGGAAGGCCCAGACAGCCAGGAUGUUGGCUUAGAAGCAGCCAUCAUUUAAAGAAAGCGUAAUAGCUCACUGGUCGAGUCGGCCUGCGCGGAAGAUGUAACGGGGCUAAACCAUGCACCGAAGCUGCGGCA